UACGGAGGGGGCUAGCGUUGUUCGGAAUUACUGGGCGUAAAGCGCACGUAGGCGGCUUUGCAAGUUAGAGGUGAAAGCCCGGGGCUCAACUCCGGAAUUGCCUUUAAAACUGCAUCGCUAGAAUUGUGGAGAGGUAAGUGGAAUUCCGAGUGUAGAGGUGAAAUUCGUAGAUAUUCGCAAGAACACCGGUGGCGAAGGCGGCCAACUGGACCAUUACUGACGCUGAGGCGCGAAAGCGUGGGGAGCAAACAGG
rnacentral:rRNA from 1 species